rnacentral:rRNA from 1 species
GCUUAUACUCGACCGUCAGCGGCACGUGCGAUCGCGCGAGCUUUCGAGUAUGCGCGCGGUCACGAAGCCCUGACGAGUAGGAGGGUCGCGGCGGUGAGCGCAGAAGGGCUGGCCGCGAGGCCGUCUGGAGCCGCCGUCGGUGCAGAUCUUGGUGGUAGUAGCAAAUACUCCAGCGAGGCCCUGGAGGACUGACGUGGAGAAGGGUUUCGUGUGAACAGCCGUUGCACACGAGUCAGUCGAUCCUAAGCCCUAGGCGAAAGCCGAUGUCGAUGCGGUGUAGUUUUUACGAUAACACGACGACGAAACAAGCUUUAAUUCGUCUCGAUAUAAUAACGCGAGAGCACACACCCGUCGGGCGAAAGGGAAUCCGGUUCCUAUUCCGGAACCUGGCAGCGGAACCGUAAAAAAGUCGGGC